GAUGUCUGGAGGAACAGUCAGUUCAAAUGUUCUAAGGCUGGAGUGCACUCACCAAGUUUAAAGAACAUGAGAAAGACCAGCGUGGCUGGAGUUGAGUGAGUGAUAUAGAGAGCAAAAGAAAACAAGGCAGAAAGGCAAUGGGAAGAUCAGCUCAGGCAUGCAAUUUCAUGAGGACAAGGAAAAGUGAACUUGGACCCACAUGUCAUCCUCUGCUAGUCCUGCUAAUUAAUUGAGGAACAUCCAACGGGUCUUGGCACGGGUCUUGGCACUGGUCUUGGUCAUUGCUACAUAAACUUGCAGAAGUGCCUGUGUAUUAUGGUGCUCGAGGUCUGUGCUCUCAGGCAAAGCAGAGCGAUUACUCCAUGAAGCUCAGCAAACCUGUGCUAGGUCCAAUGUCCGGAGAGUCCAAUGUCUGGAGAACUGGCCAGGCACCGACAGACCAGCACCACCGGCACGAUCCUGACAGCACCUCCGGCCUCCUGGAAGUCGGCCUUGGACAGCGUGGAUGCUUCUCCUCCCGAGACACUCCACAAGGAAGAAAUGAUAUAAAACCUGCCGCCAGGUGGCUCCUGACAACCGGCGCGAAUGUCAGCGGGAUGGAUCCGGAACCCGGGCAACAAGGGUGUCCCACUGCCUGCCCAGAGGGCCGAUCGCAUCCCAACCCCCCCCAACCACCUCGGGCGGGUACCAGACACAGGGCUCAUGGCUGGCAAGGGCCUCUGGCUGUGCAAGCCUCACCCAAUUGGGACUGACUGGGCUCAAGCUUGCGGUAGGCGCAGUGGUGCCGGGAUGAGUGGGAAUGGCAAGCAGGAGCGGCAGGUGGUAUUGGACUGUGGGGAUGGGUUUUGGCCUGAUCCCCGCAGGCCAUACCAAGGGACCCCACCCGUGCAUGAAUUCAUGCACCAGGCCGCUAGUGAGAUAUAAGCCAAGUAAUGACUCAUUUAUCUGCUAUCACUGCCAUAAUGAUAUAAAUACUUGCCCAAAGUUUUCAAUUUAAUCCUUAUAAGGCUCCAGGUAAGCUUCUUAGAAAAAGCACCAGUCUUUUCUCUAGCAUUCUUGGGCUAGGAAUGGCUAUUCUAGAUUUCUAGUUGCACAUAUGAACUGAAAUAAGUGGAGGGGAAUUCUGAAGGUCAAGUACAAGAGACAGGAGUGUCUUUAUUGGACACUUGUGAUUUUCAAUAAGCUCUAGAGGUAUAUCUCUGAUUGCUCAAGAAAGCAAGAGAUAAAGGAGGACCCUUUUGUUCUAAGACAGAAUACUCUGUGCCAGGAUAUGGCCUGUGAUAAUUCAGUGAACAUGAAUGAAAACACAAAGAAAACAAAUAUGUAACGUGAGAAUGACUGAUGAAGCCACAGCGUAGAGGAGGCAGAUAAAAGAAAUUUCCUCAAGUAUUAUAAAUUAAUAUAUGGGCUACAAACUUUAUUGAUGUUUUAUUGUUAUACCUGGAGCUUCUUUCUAUUAACCUGUAUUAAUCUUAGUGAGAGUAGGAAGUAAUAUAUUCUCUAAUCAGCAUAGAUUUUUCUAGAAACUGGGCAGAUUAAGAUUGCAAAGAAGGGGUAUUCCUAAAAUGAGUAGAUAAGCCCUUGUGCUAAAAACAUCAUCAAAAGUAGAAUUAUUUUUAGAAUUUACUAUUAUGAAAUUGCUGCGAAAUUUUCAACAUAAAAUAGAGAUGAAGAUGACACAUAAAUAUUGGAAACUUAGAGAAAGAAAACUUGGGAUCAGUACUCUAUGACCACUAGUGUAUCAAAAUCUACCUCAUUGGAGUAAAAGCUGAAACCCAAAUUACAAAUUAAUUUGUGUUGGUAAUUAUUGAAUGCAUAUGAACAACUAGAUAGUUUAUUUAAUGAUGUGAUUUUAAAUUCUUACAGUUUUUGACUCACCUGCAAGAACUUGAGAAUUUAUGCAAUGCUAGAAUUAAUAAUCCACUUCCCGCCAUUUUGUGGCUCUCACCUUGUAUCAAGUACUACUUUCAGUGAAAUGAGAUAAAAUAUAAUAUUUCUUGCUUCUUUAUACAACUUCCUUUCAAAAUAUGAAAUUCACAUUUUUAUAUUAUUUCUUACCUGUUACAAAUCAAUAAACUA